CAAUAAGUAGUUUAAUUUAAAAUUUAAGUUUUGGAGACUUAGGAUAUUUCUUAUCUUAUUGA
rnacentral:tRNA from 1 species